AAAAUGCAAGGUACCGUGGGACAUGACGACCCGGCACGUAUCUAGACUUCGGAGGCCAAGGGAGGCUUUCUGUGAAGGAAGCGGUGUGUUAGCUGAGAAUAGGGCAAAGCAGAGGGGAAAGGACAAAGGCUGGGCUGGGAGGGGAUGCAGGGUGCUUCCCCUGUUGUGCUGGAGUGUCUGAAGGGUCUGUUUGAGGAACCGAAAGGAGCUCGGCCCAGGCCGGCAGGCAGGAUGCAAGAGGCUGGAGGUGCGCAGGGGAGAGAGGAGGCUGAGGCCAGGAAGGAGCGCGGUCAGAAAGGGCUUUGUCCGUAGUGCUGAGGAGUGUGGGCCUUAUGGCAAAGCCACCGGGCCGCCGCUGCCGGGCUUUGAUGAAAGCAGAAACGAGUGCCACAAGCGGGCAAGUAAAACUACAAUGUCUCACACGAGAACUGUUGAUCUCGGAGGAAAGAAAGACACCCUCAAGACUGAACCACACUGCAUCAGUGCCAUCUGGCCUCACAUGCAGUGCUUCUCAACGCUGUCAGGAGUGCCCUUCCACGAGACACAGAGUGCCCGGAGAUACCAAAAAUAGUUCUCAUCAAGUCAUCGGGCCAAAUGGACAUUCCGGGAGCCAGCCCCGUGUUUAUGCUAUAGUUUCAGAAGUCCCGGACACGGCCCUCCACACCCCAUUGUGUCAGAAGCAGUCUGAAUGAAGGACCGAAAGGGGGACAGGGACAUGUGGAGAGCACACAGCCAAUGCAAGAUCUCCGGCGUCCAUAGCCUGGUAUCACAGUGACUAAACACACCCCUUCCUGAACACUCCUCCCCAGAGCCCGGCCCUGGAGAGCCCCCCACCAUCUGUGCAGUCCACCCCCUUCAUCAAAGCCCCCCCAGCCUUGCUCCGCUCCCACCCCAAGAUCCACACUAGCUUCUAAAAUGAGUUUGUGCCUCCGCUAGCCUUCAUCAUACACGUAUUUUUAUACACGUAACUGCGCCGGGUGAUGUCUCCCCCUCCACAUCUCAAACUUCACGAGCAAAGAGCCACGUUUCUUAUCUCCGCUGCCUAUUCAGUGCUGUAGCCACAAUGUGUGCCAAAUAAAGUUUUAUUGCACUGAA